rnacentral:rRNA from 1 species
UGCUGCGAUGGCUGUCGUCAGCUCGUGUCGUGAGAGUGUUGGGUUAAGUCCCGCAACGAGCGCAACCCUUGUCUUAAUUGCCAUCAUUUAGUUGGGCACUUUAAAGAGACUGCCGGUGUUAAGCCGGAGGAAGGUGGGGAUGACGUCAAGUCCUCAUGGCCUUUAUGUCUAGGGCUACACACGUACUACAAUGGCCGGUCAAAGGGCAGCCACUCAGCGAUGAGGCGCUAAUCCCAUAAAGCCGGUCUCAGUCCGGAUCGCAGUCUGCAACUCGACUGCGUGAAGUUGGAAUCGCUAGUAAUCGUAGAUCAGCAUGCUACGGUGAAUACGUUCCCGGGCCUU